ensembl:misc_RNA Metazoa_SRP Metazoan signal recognition particle RNA
GGGCGUGGUAGUGUGUGCCGGUAGUCCCAGAGAUGGGAGGAUCGCUUGAUCCAGGAGUUCUGGGCUGUAGUGAGCUAUGUGCCAGGUACUGCUCUAAACACUUUCCGUAGUAACUAAUUGAUUAACUACAACAACCCUAUGAAGUAGAAACUAUUAAUUUUUUGAAAGAUAUUUUUAAAUUUUAUUUUUUAAUUUUUGUGUCUUCAUAAUAGGUAUAUCUAUUUAGGGGUACGUGAGAUAUUUUGAUCAGGUGUCCACACUAAGUUUGGCACCAAUUUGGUGACCUCCCAGGAGCGGGGGACCACCAUGUUGCCUAAGGAGGGGAGAACUGACCCAGGUCAGAAACAGAGCAGAUCAAAACACCCAUGCUGAUAAGUAGUGGGAUCGUGCCUGUGAAUAGCCACUGCGCUCCAGCCUGGGCAACAUAGCGAGACCUCUUCUCUA